rnacentral:rRNA from 1 species
GACGAACGCUGGCGGCGUGCUUAACACAUGCAAGUCGAACGGAAAGGCCCUGCUUUUGUGGGGUGCUCGAGUGGCGAACGGGUGAGUAACACGUGAGUAACCUGCCCUUGACUUUGGGAUAACUUCAGGAAACUGGGGCUAAUACCGGAUAGGAGCUCCUGCUGCAUGGUGGGGGUUGGAAAGUUUCGGCGGUUGGGGAGGGACUGGCGGCUUAUCAGCUUGUUGGUGGGGUAGUGGCUUACCACGGCUUUGACGGGUAGCCGGCCUGAGAGGGUGACCGGCCAAGUUGGAACUGAGAUGCGGCCCAGACUCGUACGGGAGGCAGCAGUGGAGUAUAUUGCACAAUGGGCGGAAGCCUAGUGCAGCAACGCCGCGUGCGGUAGGACGGCCUUCGGGUUGUAAACCGCUUUCGCCUGUGACGAAGCGUGAGUGACGGUAAUGGGUAAAGAAGCACCGGCUAACUACGUG